rnacentral:rRNA from 1 species
GAUGAACGCUGGCGGCGUGCCUAAUACAUGCAAGUCGAGCGAACAGACGAGGAGCUUGCUCCUUUGACGUUAGCGGCGGACGUGUGAGUAGCACGUAGGUAACCUACCUAUAAGACUUGGAUAACUUCGGGAAACCGGAUCUAAUACCGGAUAAUUUUUCGAACCGCAUGGUUCGUUAGUUAAAGAUGGCUUUUCUAUCACUUCUAGAUGGUCCUGCGCCGUAUUAGCUAGUUGGUAAGGUAACGGCUUACCAAGGCAACGAUACGUAGCAGACCUGAGAGGGUGAUCAGCGAUACUGGAACUGAGAAACGGUCGAGACUCCGACGGGAGGCAGCAGAAGGGAAUCUUACGCAAUGGGGGAAAGCAUGACGGAGCAAGACCGCGGGAGUGAUGAAGGUCUUCGGAUCGUAAAAAUAUGUUAGGAGGGAAGAACAAAAGUGGAAGUAACUGUGAACGAAGUGACGGUACCAAAUCAGAAAGCAACGGCUAACUACGUG